UGAGGAAUAUUGGACAAUGGGCGCAAGCCUGAUCCAGCCAUGCCGCGUGCAGGAUGACGGUCCUAUGGAUUGUAAACUGCUUUUGUACAGGAAGAAACAGUUCUACGUGUAGAACCUUGACGGUACUGUAAGAAUAAGGAUCGGCUAACUCCGUGCCAGCAGCCGCGGUAAUACGGAGGAUCCAAGCGUUAUCCGGAAUCAUUGGGUUUAAAGGGUCCGUAGGCGGUUAGAUAAGUCAGUGGUGAAAGCCUAUCGCUCAACGGUGGAACGGCCAUUGAUACUGUCUGACUUGAAUUAUUAGGAAGUAACUAGAAUAUGUAGUGUAGCGGUGAAAUGCUUAGAGAUUACAUGGAAUACCAAUUGCGAAGGCAGGUUACUACUAAUGGAUUGACGCUGAUGGACGAAAGCGUGGGUAGCGAACAGGAUUAGAUACCCAUGUAGUCCCUGAGCGGGCUGGCAAGGCGCAU
rnacentral:rRNA from 1 species